rnacentral:rRNA from 1 species
UACGUAGGGUCCGAGCGUUGUCCGGAUUCAUUGGGCGUAAAGAGCUCGUAGGCGGCUCAGUAAGUCAGAUGUGAAAACUCAGGGCUCAACCCGGAGACGCCAUCUGAUACUGCUGUGGCUUGAGUCUGGUAGGGGAGCACGGAGUUCCUGGUGUAGCGGUGAAAUGCGCAGAUAUCAGGAGGAACACCGGUGGCGAAGGCGGGUCUCUGGGCCGAUACUGACGCUGAGGAGCGAAAGCGUGGGGAGCGAACAGG